UCCAGUUUAUCCCGCUGGAGGUCACUGCUAUUAGAGUUCGUUAGCCAUGCAAGUUCACGAGUAACUUUUUACUCGUAGCACUCGGCCCAGUAACACGUAGAUAACCUAACCUAUAGAGGGGGAUAACCUCGGGAAACUGAGGGUAAUACCACAUAGGAAACAAUUUCUGGAAAUGAUUUGUUUCCUAAAAGAUUAAGUGAUAUAGAGCUUAUUCGCUUUACGAUGGGUCUGCGGCGGAUUAGGCAGUUGGCGGUGUAACGGACCACCAAACCUAAGAUCCGUAGGGGCAUUGAGAGAUGAUGCCUCGGGAAGGACACUUAGACAAGGGUCCUAGCCCUAAGGGGUGCAGCAGGUACGAGGUCUCCGCAAUGCACGUAAGUGUGACGGGGGAACUCUAAGUGAAAUGCUUUCGAGCAUUUCUGUACAGAAGUGUAAAUAGCUUCUGGAGAAAGGGGUGGGAAAGACCGGUGCCAGCAGCCGCGGUAAUCCCGGCACCUCAAGUAGUGACCGCUUUUAUUGGGCCUAAAGUAUCCGUAGCCGGAUUAAUAAGUUCCCUGUGAAAUCGCGUGGCUUAACCAUGCGGCGUGCAGGGAAUACUGUUAGUCUAGGGACCGGGUGGGGUCAGGGGUACUCCUGGGGUAGCGGUUAAAUGUUAUAAUCCCAGGAAGACCAACAGUGGUGGAGACGCCUGACUAGAACGGGUCCGACGGUGAAUGGAUGAAAGCUGGGGGAGCAAAGCGGAUUAGAUACCCGUGUAGUCCCAGCUGUAAACCCUGUCCGUUAGGUGUUGCACGCUCCUAGAGGGCGUGCAGUGUCGAAGCGAAGGCAUUAAACGGGCCGCCUGGGGAGUACGCUCGCAAGGGUGAAACUUAAAGGAAUUGGCGGGGGAAUACGACAAGGGGUGUAUCGUGCGGUUCAAUUGGAUACAACGCCGGGAAACUCACCAGGAGCGAUAGUAGGAUGAAGGUCAGUCUAAAGGGCUUACCUGACAGACUAAGAAGAGGUGCAUGGCCAUCGUCAGCUCGUGCCGUGAGGUGUCCUGUUAAGUCAGGUAACGAGCAAGACCCAUACCCUUAUUUGCAAACUCCUAUCUUCGGAUUAGAGAGCACAAUAAAGGGACUGCUACUGAAAAGUAGAGGAAGGUGUGGGCAACGGUAGGUCAGUACGCCCUGAAUCCCCUGGGCUACACGCGCGACUCAAUGACAGGCAUAGCGGGACGCAACACCGUAAGGUGAAGCAAAUCUCUUAAAGCCUGCCUUAGUAUGGAUUGAGGGCUGCAACUCGCCCUCAUGAAAGCGAAAUCCCUAGUAAUCGCGUUUCAACAAGGCGCGAUGAAUACGUCCCUGUUCCUUGCACACACUGCCCAUCGAAUCACUCGAGUUGGGUAUGGGUGAAUCCCUCCCUUUCGGGAGUUGUGAACCUGUAACCAGCGAGAAGGAUUAAGUUGACACAAGGU
rnacentral:rRNA from 1 species